rnacentral:rRNA from 1 species
CGGCGGACGGGUGAGUAACGCGUGGGUAACCUGCCUCAUACAGGGGGAUAACAGUUAGAAAUGACUGCUAAUACCGCAUAAGACCACAGCACCGCAUGGUGCGGGGGUAAAAACUCCGGUGGUAUGAGAUGGACCCACGUCUGAUUAGCUAGUUGGUAAGGUAACGGCUUACCAAGGCGACGAUCAGUAGCCGACCUGAGAGGGUGACCGGCCACAUUGGGACUGAGACACGGCCCAA